CUUGACCAGUUGAUUAAGUUGGCUAGUAUCUCAUAUAUCUUUUCCCUCUUUUGAUUUAGUUAGGCUAUUGUCAGAUAAAUUGCUUCUCCUUUUCUGAUUUUAUUAGCUUGCAAAUUUCUCUUUUUGUUUGUCAUUUCCAACUUACUCAUGUCAGCCCUUUCUGAUUUUGAUUAGAAUGUUUGUGGUGAGAAGGUCUUGCUUGCCGUUGUUUAUUUUUUAUCCUUUCUCUUGGAAUUGGUUUAUCUUGGGUUUCUAAGAGGGCUUAUAAGCUUUUCUUUGUGAGAUGGUUUCUGUUACUAAAUAGUUGGCUUGCAUAUUUUCCUCAUUGCUUUCUUUGUUCUUCGUUGUGCAAGCUUUUAUAGGAUGCCUGCUUUUUCUAGCUGAAGAUUAGGAUGAUAGGGAGGAUGUUCUUGAUCAUGAAGACAAGAAACUGGAGGUAACAUAGUACUAUAUCUCUAAGAUCUUUAACUUGUUUUCAACUUUUCGACCCAUUUCUCAAUGUCCAGGUUCUCUUAAUGCAUGUCUAUAUUGGUAACUUGCAUGUUAGUGAGGUUUCAUGUUUGAAUUUUUUAAAUUCUUCGAGUGUCUAUUUGAGUAUAUUAGAAGUCUGUUGCUUUGAAUGGUUUGUGAUAGGUGGUGACAAGGAAUUUUGGAGGUGGUGUUGGUAAUAACCAUAGAUGUGAUGCUUAUGAUGUUUAUGGUACAAUGAAUAAACUUGAGCUAUUCAUAGAUGUUUAGAGUUUAGCAACUAAUAGUACUUUUUGUACAUUUCAUGUGCUUCUUUAACAAGAUCAACAUAAAUGCAAAUGUUGAACCUUAAAAGUUAAAACGAAUGGGAUUUCAUAUGAGAAUUAAUGUAAUGGAUCAACAUGAAGAUAUCUUUUUUCCCACUCUACAACUACAACUAUGUCCAUGAAAUGACCUGUGAAGAUAUCAAGGAAAAAGGAGUAAAUGUUGUUCCUCGAAGAACUUGUGCCUUAAUUAGUCUUACCUUUAAAAUUUAGUAUGUCUAUGUUUCCAAGACUCGAUAUCUUUUUAUGCUAAAAAUCUUGAUUUCAGAUGCACGGUAAGAAGAUUUAUGGGGAGUUUAUUUAAAGAGGCAAAGUGGAUAUAAACCAAUUAUGCAAGGGCAUCUUCAUAAUGCUUAGUUAUCCAUAUCUGGACCUGUAAUCUAGAUGGUUUCUUCUCUCUUACAAUUCCAUUAACCGAGGAAGCUUCGAAAUGCUUUGUUCAAUCUUCGGAUGUAAUUCAUCACCCGUCAAUGAUUUUACAACUUGCAAACGAUCUAGGGACAUAAUUAGUACACAAGCUUUUUUCUUUUA